CUCAUGAUCCUUUGUAUUUCUGCAGUGUCAGUUGUUACUUCUCCGUUUUCAUUUCUAAUUCUAUUGAUUUGAGUCUUCUCCCUUUUUUUCUUGAUGAGUCUGGCUAAUGGUUUAUCAAUUUUGUUUAUCUUCUCAAAGAACCACCUUUUAGUUUUAUUGAUGUUUGCUAUUGUUUAUUUCUGUUUCAUUUAUUUCUGAUCUGAUCUUCAUGAUUUCUUUCCUUCUGCUAACUUCGGGAUUUUUUUUGUUCUUCUUCCUCUAAUUGCUUUAGAUGUAAGGCUAGGUUUUUUAUUUGAGAUGUUUCUUGUUUCUUGAGGUAGGAUUGUAUUGCUAUAAACGUCCCUCUUAAAGUGCUUUUGCUGCAUCCCAUAUGUUUUGGGUUGUCAUGGUUUCAUUGUCAUUUGUUUCUAGGUAUUUUUUGAUUUCCUCUUUGAUUUCUAUGGUAAUCUCUUGGUUAUUAAGUAGUGUAUUGUUUAGCCUCCAUGUGUUUGUAUUUUUUACAGUUUUUUUCCUGUAAUUGAUAUCUAGUUUCAUAGCAGUGUGGUCAGAAAAGAUACUUGAUAUGAUUUCAAUUUUUUUAAUUUACCAAGGCUUGAUUUGUGACCCAAGAUAUGAUCUAUUUUGGAGAAUGUUCCAUGAGCACUUGAGAAGAAAGUGUAUUCUGUUGUUUUUGGAUGGAUUGUUCUAUAAAUAUCAAUUAUGUCCAUCUUGUUUAAUGUAUCAUUUAAAGCUUGUGUUUCCUUAUUUAUUUUCAUUUUGGAUGAUCUGUCCAUUGGUGAAAGUGGGAUGUUAAAGUCCCCUACUAUGAUUGUGUUACUUUCGAUUUCCCCUUUUAUGGCUGUUAGCAUUUGCCUUAUGUGUUGAGGUGCUUCUAUGUUGGGUGUAUAAAUAUUUACAAUUGUUAUAUCUUCAUCUUGGAUUGAUCCCUUGAUCAUUAUGUAGUGUUCUUCAUUGUCUCUUGUAACAGUCUUUAUUUUAAAGUCUGUUUUGUCUGAUAUGAGAAUUGCUAGUCCAGCUUUGUUCAGAUUUCCAUUUGCAUGGAAUAUCUUUUUCCACCUCCUCAGUUUCAGUCUGUAUGUGUCCCUAGGUCUGAAGUGGGUCUCUUGUAGACAGCAUAUAUACAGGUCCCGUUUUUGUAUCCAUUCAGCCAGUCUAUGGCUUUUGGUUGGAGCAUUUAAUCCAUUUACAUUUAAGGUAAUUACCAUUUCUUAAUUGUUUUGGGUCUGUUAUUGUAGGUCUUUUCCUUCUCUUGUGUUUCCUUCCUAGAGAAGUUCCUUUAGCAUUUGUUGUAAAGCUGGUUUGGUAGUGCUGAAUUCUCUUAGCUUUUGCUUGUCUGUAUAGGUUUUAAUUUCUCCUUCGAAUCUGAAUGAGAUCCUAGCUUGGUAAUCUUGGCUGUAGGUUUUCCCCUUUCAUCACUUUAAAUAUGUCCUGCCACUUCCUUCUGGCUUUCAGAGUUUCUGUUGAAAGAUCAGCUGUUAACCUUAUGGGGAUUCCCUUAUAUGUUAUUUAUUGCUUUUCCCUUGCUGCUUUUAAUGUUUUUUCUUUGUGUUUAAUUUUCUUUUUUCUUUUUUUUUUUUUUGCGGUAUACAGGCCUCUCACUGUUGUGGCCUCUCUCGUUGCGGAGCACAGACUCCGGACGCGCAGGCUCAGCAGCCAUGGCUCACGGGCCUAGCCACUCCGCGGCAUGUGGGAUCUUCCCAGACUGGGGCACGAACCUGUGUCCCCUGCAUCGACUGCUUCCUGCUUUGAAUGUGAACCUGAGGCUCAGGAUGCUGUGGGAGCCAGACGCUCUUGCUGGCAGCCAGGAAGUGACAAGCAUGAAGAUAAAGCCAAGGAGCGGGGGGCAGAGGAGGGAAAACAGAGAGCAGGCAUCCCUGGCAGCCUGGUCCAGCUGCCGAACUGGCCCUGUACUGCCCGCGCUGGACUUCCUGUGAUGGGAGGGAAAUAAACCCUCUGUUUAAGCCACCAAAAAGCAGGAUUUUCUGCUACCUAUGGCUGAGCACUCGCCUUACUGGGAUGGAGGUUUGGGUACUUAGAGUCUUGUCACAGUUAUUCACAAAUGGCCCUGGCACAGUUGUAUUUGUUCUCCUCUGGCCACAUGUUUCAGGGAAAUUGUGCCAGAUUCUAACUCGAUUUGCUUGUAGUGUUUGACUGGAAUCUCCAGGGGGCACGUGCAGUCUGGCCUCUGUUAACUGAUUCUUUGUGUGGUAUGCAGUCAGCUCCCAGAGGUGGGCCUACUUCUCCUCCCUGUCAUGACCAAGAGGCAGCACAGAACUUUCACCAACAGCAGUAUGUGUUUCUUAAACUGUGUCCUGUCCAGGGUCUCACUUCCUGGUGGGCUUCCCGAGACAUCUGCCAAGUCUGGUUUCACUAAGGACUUAAAACCCUUCAGGGAACCAUUUUCACCCUGCCUGGUUAGCUUUUCUGUUUUACGUAGCCUGGGGCACUGGUUGAGCCGAGGUAACCCAAACACUGCAGAGGAGGUGUACUGGGGAGAUGACACUGGGUUUAGGUGUCCCACUGUUGUAUUUAUAUCAUUUGUUAAACACAAAUUAUUUCCAUCCCACCUUGAUGGUGGGUGUCACUUCUUGCAUAGACAGUCGUGUUCGCCUACUCACUGAUGUCCUUGUCACCAAUUUCCCCCUUCCCAAGCCAUCCUGUUUACUAUAACCAGGGUAGCCUUUCUGAAGGAUCUGGCAGAGGAGCACUCAAAUUCCUGGACAUGGAUUGGCUCACAUUAGUAAUAGGUAGGACUAUGCCUGCCAAUAUGCUCCUUGGUCCUGUGUCCUGUCCCAGCUGGUGAGCUGAGCAGGAGGCUGCCUUCCCUGUUUGGGCGUAGCCACCUUACUCUUUCUCUUCCUCUGAAGUCUCUGCAGGGCUGUCAGUGUCACUUGGUCCCUACCUUGCUGGAAGAGACCUGGAAAGGCCAGCCCUGUGUUAAGCCUAAACUGUGUGCUUUAGCCCAGUAUAAUAAAAAUCUCUGCAGUGGAAUGAGGAGCACAAGUCCAGCCCAUACUAAUCAAAUGGGUCAUGUUUCCCAUUUUCUCUUGUCUCGUGGGAGUUUAUCUCCAUCAAAAACAUCCCAUGGAAGAGAAUCCAAAACAGGAUUCAGGUACCCUGAGUCCUCUAGUCAAGUAACAGUUACUAAUACUCCAAAGCCCUUCUAAGCCUUACAGCUUAUUAUUAUAACUAAUAUUACAAAUUAUUAUUAUGCCAUCUUAUUAUUACCUUGAUUCUCUCUGUCUAGAGAAGGGGUUACAAAUCUAAAUUUGUAGCCUUUGGAAGCCAGGCAGGUAACAUGAAUGAACAAAGCAAACCAUCAUGUGUCUCCCCCCUAUCUCUUGUUCUUCUGUCUGUGACAGACACAUGGGUUCAGAGAAACAUUUCUCUCAACUACAUGAAAAACAAGGUCAGGUUCAAUGACAAAUGGCAGCUGAGACUCAUCUUGGCCUUGGAAAGACCGUAGGGAAUUUCAGGGACUGUGGCAACUGAAAAGUGAGUGCUCUGUGUGGGGAAGCUGACUGCUACUCAUAUCCAACUGAUCUAAGUCCAUGUGGGUAUACAGGCCUACUGUCACCAGCAGUUCUAUAUUAAAAAAAAACUCCAGAUUUCAGAUUUUUGGGGGGAAGGGAGAAAUUCCUCAAUUUUAAAUAUUAUCUCAAUGUUUUAAAAAACAAACAGUGUGUGGGUCAAUUAAAAAUGUCUGGGAGCCACCAUAUUUUGCCCUUUGGCUCAGAAGAUGAAGCUCGGACCACUUUGCUUGACACAUAAACUUCUUCAUGAAUCUACCUGUGCCACCUCUUGCUUCAUUUCCUACCUCUCUCUAGACAUUCUGUAGCCGCUCAGUGCUACAUUUCGUACUUUCACCUUUUCUGGCCCCAUGCUUUUGCAUGUGCUGUUCGUUGGACUGUCCUUCCCUGGCUGAUUAAUUUUGUAAAUAGUUCAUUCUUACAUAUCCACAUCAAAACCAUCUCCUGUUUCAAGUCUUUUGUAACCUCCCUGCCACCUCCCAACCAGGCAGAGAUACAGUGUCUCUUUUCUCUGGGUUUUCUGAGCAAAGUACACAGUCUUCUUACAGAACUUAACAGAAUCUCUUGUAAUGAUCAGGUGCAUGCUCGUCUUCCCUGCUCAUCACUGAGGCUGUGCCUAUGCGUCCCCAGCACUCGGCACAGUGUUUGGCCCAGGGUCAGUGCUCAGUGACUACUGUGUGAAUAGAUGAAUAAACAAAUUCACUAUGCACUA